rnacentral:tRNA from 1 species
GGCCCUAUCGUCUAACGGCUAGGACACGAGACUUUCAUUCUCGUAAUCGGGGUUCGAUUCCCCGUGGGGCUA